rnacentral:rRNA from 1 species
UACGAAGGGGGGCUAGCGUUGCUCGGAAUGACUGGGCGUAAAGGGCGCGUAGGCGGCUUGCACCGUCAGAUGUGAAAUUCCUGGGCUUAACCUGGGGGCUGCAUUUGAUACGUGUGGGCUUGAGUGCGGAAGAGGGUCGUGGAAUUCCCAGUGUAGAGGUGAAAUUCGUAGAUAUUGGGAAGAACACCGGUGGCGAAGGCGGCGACCUGGUCCGUGACUGACGCUGAGGCGCGAAAGCGUGGGGAGCGAACAGG